rnacentral:tRNA from 1 species
GUUUAUGUAGCUUAAUUAAAGCGUAGCACUGAAAAUGCUAAUAUAGAUUUUUAAAUAUCUCAAAAACA